rnacentral:hammerhead_ribozyme from 1 species
GCACUGCUGAGGAGUCCAGCAACAGGACGGAAUGGCCAUCCAGUGC